AGCGACUUUAGACGGUAUAAAAAGCCACUGAAUAACUGAUGGAGGAGUCUAACACAACUAUAUACAAGCGUUUCGUUGGAGGGAUCGACAUCAAUGUUUUCAUCCCAAUCCCUAGCUUUUUCAAUCGCACGCUUCAAUGAAUUUCCUUCAAUCCAUUAAGCUAAGCAUUAUUCUUCUCUUCUCUUCCAAUUUAUUGCUAUGUUUUAUUUAUUUCAUCUCCAUCAAUUUCGUAUCAUUAACAGCUACAAAAUCAUAAAUAUAUUUAAAUUCUUAGAAUUUCAUUGCCUUCUAACAGAUCUAUUACACAUCAAUCUUCACUUGCAUUUAUCUGAUUCCAUUAAAUUUAGAUCUCAAUUUCGUCAUAAUUACCCUAAUAUCAUAUCGAGAUGACGAUUCUUAUUAAACACUGAUCACCGAUUAAUUUUACCUACACAUCAAUGCUUUAAUUUAAUAAUCCAUCUGUUUUACUUAAGGCUUUACACGAUAAUCUGUCACAUUUUUUUAUUGGUAUUUUUGUUACAUAGUUCUUAAAUCGGCGAUUCAUAUUAAGGUUUUGGUCUAAUUCGUCGUUAUAAAAUCAACUUUUGUGGGAUUUAAUUAGCCGUAAAACCUUACGUGAAAUCAAAGUUGAAUAUUAUAAUUGUCAUAUAUGGUUAGCAGUUUGGCUUUUAAUAAGUAAUAUUACCGAAUUCAGAACCGAAAUUGAUUGUAAUAUCGUAUUAAAAGCUGGGCAGUUGACCAUAGAUCAGAAAAGAGUUUAUAAUUAGGUUUUUUAGUUUAAUUAAACCUCAUAAAGCCAAUAUUGUGACGUUGAGUUAUGUCCAAAAACCUAAGAAUCUCUGCCAAAUUAAUUUUGAAGAGUUUUACAAUAAUUAUAUUUAUACUUGAUUUGUUGCAUUUUCACACUUUACUUUAAUAUGCACAACAAGGCACAAAACUGAACAGUUUAAUUACAUUUAUUAUUUUCAACAACCAUUGGUAACAUGCAUUAAAAUGAAAAAGCAUUUUUAGAUAAUUUGUCUUGCGAUGUUUUUUUAUUUCUUAUUUCAUUUUUAGAUGAUUAUGUCGAACACUAUUUGCUCUUUCUCAUCUAUAUCUUGUUGCUUUAAAUGCAAAUUACUGUUUUAGCUUCAUUUCAUUGUUGUUUAUUUUAACCACUGUAACUGAAAAAGUAAGGGAAAAAGAAUGCUUCAAUUCUUUUUGACGACAGAAACUGCAAGUAUUUGAUAAUGGAGAAAAAGGACUGCACACUGACAAUGUAAACCAAUUUUACACUAUCAGUUAAUAUGAGUCAUUGAUUGUAUGGUUAUACCACAUAAUUGUAACUUCCAUCAAUCAAUAAUCAAUCGUUCAUGUUAACUGUCAGUGCAUAGCUGUAUAGUGCAUAACCAUUAAACCCUUGAUAAUGACUAUUGAAGUCCUAUUUUCAAUAAUCUAUGGGUUUUAUUAAAUGGUUCACAUUCUGAGUUCCCAGUCUAAAUUUGAUUGCUUGAAGUCGGAAUGGAUUUGAUCUACAUCAAACAGUUUCCAUUUACUGACACCGUUUUAGUUAAGAUCGUGAAUUAAAUCUUAAGAUUGGACGAUCUUGCCAUAUUGCUCCUCUCAAGUGAGUCAUAUCACAUGUGAAAUCAUCUUUUGGGACGAUCAUGGUGGGAUCACGUGGAAGAUCGUUGAGAUUGUGAGAUAGAUUGAUCUCGCGUGAUUCCAAAAAUGGCAUUUUCAAGAUCCGGAAUGGACGAACCAGUUCCCCAAAAUGCAGCCAGACCACUGUGUUUCCACCGCCGUCACGUGGCCAGGCUUCUUGCUCCUCGAAUCUUCGUCUGUAGCGCAUAUGGUUCCAGCUCCGUUGAGCAGCCUAACAGAUCUACAUCACCAUUGCACUGUCUCCACAACACUUGAUGGAUGAACAAUACAAGGGAAAAAGGAAAAGAGAAGAAGAGGGACGGAAGAAGGAUGCUGCCAUGGUGGUAAUGGGAGAAGGAAAAAAGAUGAAGAAGAAGCACAGUGGCGCCUUUGAAAUAGGUAUACAAAGAAAACAAAGAAUUAGGGUUAUUUUUAAUGGGAUUAGUCCAAUAACAAAUAAAUGUGGUGAAAAAUAUUAAAACACUUUACAUAGGAAGGGUGUAUAAGUUCACAAUAAUAUUUGGCCCAGUGAUAUUAAAAUACUUAGAGUUUACUCAGUCAAUAGAAUUCUGACACACAAAAACCAUAUAAUAGGAUUCAUAUAUUGGUAGGAUCCUACAAUCCUUGUUACAAUUCCUAUAAUUUAUGAUUUUGCAAACCCCCUCACAAUUCUAGGUAUGAUCUUGAUCUGACCACCUUGAUUGACAUUGUGAAUGAGUGACUCCAAGAAAUCCAAGUCCAUCCAUAGGUAAACUAUAAUGGGUGCGUGCCCUGAUGAAGAGAUCAGUGGAGACAUUUGUUGCUUCCUCGGAAGAUACAGAGACUGAUUUGAAAUAUCAAAAAAUACACUUGCUGCCUGAAGAUUUCCAUAUACCAGCAUUCACUGUAAUGAAGAUUCAGGGCUGGAAUUGCAUAUUAGGAAUCUAGGAUGUAUAUGUGCAUUUCAUUCAUGGUCAUUUUGUUGAUGACAUGUGUUUCAUUUCUAGUUGGAGUACAUUGUUGAUAUAAACAUUUUCAUUAACUGCAAAGGUUGAAACUACUUUUAAUCAUACUAUUUCAUGCCAAAAUACUCUUCUUAUCACUGUCUCAAAAGGAUCAAGGUCAUAAGUUUGAUAGCUAAUUUUCAUUUCUUUUUGAAGUUAUUUUCUAUUUAAUCAAUUAGUCUAUUAGGGUCCAUGACAAUAUCCCUUGCAUAGUUGAACAUAUACUAAUGUGGCCUACAUGGUUUCAUGAUUUCUGCUACGGGUGUCUGUUUUUACGACUGCAGUUUCUUUUUUUAUCAGAUCUCUUGCCACAUGGUUUCAUUGAUUUUGGUACUCGUUUCUGUUUUUACGACUGCACUUUCUGUUUUUUUAUCAGACCCUCUUCCUACAUGAUUUUUACUACUGGUUUCUUUUUUUUUUGGACUGGAGUUUCUGCUUUUUAGAAUGUUUCUAGGUAGGGUAGGACUGCUAUUUCUGUUUUCUACAAGUUUUUGGUUUCAUAUUUUUGCAAUGGUUCCAAUUUGUUCAGACUAGUUUCAAUGGUUCAGAAUUGUGCAACACCUAUGUAGAGAAAAUUCAUUUAUUUUGGUUACCAAAUAUUUAAUAAGAUGCCUUUUAUUUUUAUAGGCAAAUGUUAGUAGUUAGUAAGUAUGUUGGGGGAAUGGGUAAUAUUAGUAGCAAGGAUUGAACUUUGGACCUUCUUCAUUCGCUGUCCCUAGGCAAACCAUAUAGGAUUGAUAUGGGGGAUUGGGUAGCUCAACUACUUUGAGCCGAGGGUUGAAGGAGUGCAGGAGUCGAAAGACCAGGUUCAAACCCAGGUGAAGGUGUAAAAAUGUUAAUUUAACUACCAACGAUUUUGCAUAAAAAGAAAAAUAUAUAUAGGAUUGAUAUGAUAUGACGAGUGAUAUUCGAUCACUUUAUGCAAUCUGCAAAUUAUGCAAAUUUGUCAUGACUGAUACUUAUGUUAUUUGUGCAGUCUUUACAUUAGGGAAUUUUGCACAUGCAUAGACUUACAGAAGGUGGUUGUCACAUGGUUGGUUUAAUCUGUUUGUUUGAGCAUAGAUGCCUAACAAAUAAUUAUGCAUCUGUUUUUUUCUUUGGAGAGGUUAUUGCAAGUUUAACUGGUUCAUACUUGUAGAGAUGCUUUUUAUUUUGUUGCAUAUGGAAAUAUUAUUCAACCGAUUUGCAUCAAUUUAUGUACUUUGAUACUGUUUUUUUAUACUACUACGUCCACUGAUUUAUGCUAAACUGGUUCAAAGUAAAACUGGUUUUAGCACAAGUGAAUGUUGGUAGUGGAAAAAUACCAAAUUUAUGUUA